CCGGGGUAAAGCAGUUAUACAAUCUUCCCCCAGCACACCCGGCAUCUGUGAAGUACAAACAAUAUAAAGUAGGCCAUCCAGGCCCGUAAAGCAGGCACUGCCCAGCCGUCGUGAUUUAAGUUCAGUUCAGCGGUGACCUGGCUUAUUACGAUAAGAUAGAGGAGUGAAUGGCGCCUACGCAGGGAGAAGGCAAGGGAGUGGGAAAUAAAGAAUUCCCUGGGCUCCUUCCAGAAGCUGUGAGUUGCAGGGAUCGGACUCUUGUUAUCGGAAAAAGGACCCAAACUCAGUCGCUAGUAUGUUCUCGCAAAGGACGCUGCAGAUUUGUUGGUGGAAGGAAGUGACACCGCCUGCUACCAAAUAUUUGGUCAGCUCUCCAUCACCAACUUUCUGAUCUUAGUAUGGCUUUCCGUGAUCAACCAACUUUUCCCAGCGCAAUGAGGUCUCUGGCUGCACUUGUAUUUCCAAACGAGUGUGCUGACCUUGGACUUCCUAAGGGGACAGGGUUAAUUAUGAACCAGACCACGGAUCUUCAAUUUAUCAGCGGGCUAAGUAGCUGGUGACCGCGCCCCCAUCGGAGUCAACUUCGAGGAAAUGAAACGGGACUUAUUUACAUUUAGAGCGAUGCUCAGCUUCUUAAUCACCUCAAAGCAUUUAAAAAUUAACUUUCCUAACCAGCAGCUCGAGAGGCAAAAUGAACCCUGGGAAAGCCUUGGCUACCCUUCUCUCUCUCCUCCUCUGGGGCUGCCUAUUCAUUAUUUCAGCCUGUGUUCUUUGCCUGUGUUUUGUUGUUGUUGUUGUUUUUGCUAAACCCUGGAAACUCUCUUGUGUUUGCUAUGUCUCUGAUAAAGCAGGUUUCUACGACCUCAUCGGAAUGGCCAACAAUUGCCGGGAGAGCUGAGUGCAUGGGCACCGGAAGACAUGGGACCCAGUCUGUUCAACUUUGUGGUAUAGGCAAUGUUUCAGUGAAAUUGGUUGGUUAUCAAAGGGUUAUUAUGGAUUGCAUGUGCCGGACAAGAGGGGAAUUCGAAGCGGUGUGGAUUCCGGUAGAAGCAAGGUCCUUCCUUCCCGUUAAUUACAGCAGCUAAGAGGCCAAGGGGCAUAUUCUUGGAGUUUUCACUUUGACCACGGAAGCCGGUUACCUACUAUGGUGAAAGGAAUGCUACCUGGGUUCUAAGAGGCCAUUCUUGAAAAAUAAGCAGAAGCCAAGUGACUCUGGAUCUGUGUCUUCAUUAGAAGCAGAACGCCCUGUACCUUCUGUUUGCCUUGUGCCGAGUCUGCAGAAGG
rnacentral:lncRNA from 1 species